CUCUCAGUGCCUCAGGUUCCCUAUCUGGGAACUAUAAUUCUGACCUACCUCCUAGGGGGGAGGGGUUCUGAUGAUUAAUGAAUUCAUGUUUGCAAAGGACUUUGAGAUCCUCUGAUGAAAGUUUCUGGAGAAUGGCAGAAAAUUACUCUGAUUAUUACUCAUCUUCCUUCAGGCUGCCCCUCUGUUUCAGACCAGUUUGGACCAAUGCUGAAGACACAGGAACAAGAAUUUACAAGCUGGGGGAUGGAAAGAGCUGAAGAAACGAGGAAUAAAUGCUGUGGCAUGGGGCAGAGGGAAGGAGAAGAAGCUGGAAACAAAAACAAAAGGGAGAGACAGAGAAAAAAAAAGACACAGCCAACAAGAACAACCACUGCUGGAUUUGGGGAAGAACAUUUUUGGCCCAGCUUAGAACUGAAAAAUUCCCUUCUUUGCCUCUUUGAUGAUUUCCUGUCCUCCAAGAAGUAAACGCUACUGAUUUCUACCAGAAAGGGAACAAUGGGAGUGUUUCAUCUCAGUUUUACAAUGACACAAGAACUUUAUGAAACCAGUGGUAUUUGUCACACACAAAUAUAUAAACAGGCACACACAAUGUAUAUAUGAUACAUGUUAUACAUACACACACAUAUAUCUAUUUAUAGAAGCUAUGUAAAAUUUGACAUUUAAAAACCUUAGUCUUAAAGCAAUUGAUCUAGAUCCAAGAAAAACCCCAAACUCUGUUCCUUCAGUACCUGUAGUGGGGGAAAGGAGGUCCCAGUUGCAAUUUGGCCUUCGGAUAGUUUAUUUAAAUGUGAAUGGCCACGUUAUUGUUGACUAGAGUCUGCUUUGCCUCCCAGACAGCUGCUGUUUCUGACCUACACAUGCACACAUUAAUCUCACACUUGGACAGGUAUCCACAAUGUCACAAGAGUCACAGAAUAUUAUAUAGAAGGUAGAUCUGGGCAGUAGCCCACAGGAUCUUCCAGGGGAAUAGAGAAUCCAGUGCUAGGUCUGAACAGUGGCACAGGGAACUUCAAGGAAAUA